GACGAACGCUGGCGGCGUGCUUAACACAUGCAAGUCGAACGGUGAUGCUCCAGCUUGCUGGAGUGGAUCAGUGGCGAACGGGUGAGUAACACGUGAGCAACCUGCCCCAGACUCUGGAAUAAGCGCUGGAAACGGCGUCUAAUACUGGAUACGAAACUGGCCCGCAUGGGCAUGGUUUGGAAAGUUUUUCGGUUUGGGAUGGGCUCGCGGCCUAUCAGCUUGUUGGUGAGGUAAUGGCUCACCAAGGCGACGACGGGUAGCCGGCCUGAGAGGGCGACCGGCCACACUGGGACUGAGACACGGCCCAGACUCCUACGGGAGGCAGCAGUGGGGAAUAUUGCACAGUGGGCGAAAGCCUGAUGCAGCGACGCCGCGUGAGGGAUGACGGCCUUCGGGUUGUAAACCUCUUUCACCAGGGACGAAGCGUGAGUGACGGUACCUGGAGAAGAAGCACCGGCCAACUACGUG
rnacentral:rRNA from 1 species